CCGGCCUUAGCUCAGUUGGUAGUAGCGGCAGACUGUAGCGGCGCCUUCGCUGGCAGUUGCGGGCGCCACAGCUAUCUGUAGGUCCCCGGUUCAACUCCGGGAGGCCGGA